UCAAGGACUUCUAUUCAGAAC
rnacentral:siRNA from 1 species